rfam:Populus trichocarpa isolate Nisqually-1 chromosome 1, whole genome shotgun sequence.
UGUCUCUAUGAAGAAUAGAACUGAAAGUAAAAGUAAUGAACUGAUUCUGCUUGAUGAACAAUGUAUCUGAGGGAUA